rnacentral:rRNA from 1 species
AACGAACGCUGGCGGCAUGCCUAACACAUGCAAGUCGAACGAGACCUUCGGGUGUAGUGGCGCACGCGUGUGUCAAGCGUCGGACCCUGCCCUUAGGCUCCGAAUAAUUCUCUGUCAGGGGUGCUAAUACCGGAUAAUGUACUCGGAUCAAAGAUUGGUCGUCCUUGUAUGGGCCCGCGUUGGAUUAGCUAGUUGGUAGGGUAAAAGCCUACCAAGGAGUGGAUCCAUAGCUGGUUUGAGAGGAAGGUCAGCCACACUGGGAGUGUGACACGGCCCAGACUCCUACGCAAGGCAGCAGUGGGGAAUAUUGGACAAUCGGGGGAGGCCUGAACCAGUAAGGCUGGGAAAGUGAUGAAGUUCGGAAAGAAGUAAAGCUCUUUUACCCGGGGUUAUAAUGACGGUACCGGGAGAAUAAGCUCCGGCUAACUCCGUG